rnacentral:rRNA from 1 species
UACGGAGGGGGUUAGCGUUGUUCGGAAUUACUGGGCGUAAAGCGCGCGUAGGCGGAUCAGAACGUUGGGGGUGAAAUCCCGGGGCUCAACCCCGGAAUUGCCUUCAAAACUCCUGGUCUUGAGUUCGAGAGAGGUGAGUGGAAUUCCGAGUGUAGAGGUGAAAUUCGUAGAUAUUCGGAGGAACACCAGUGGCGAAGGCGGCUCACUGUCUCGAAACUGACGAUGAGGUGCGAAAGCGUGGGGAGCAAACAGG